GUAGGGGGCGAGCGUUGUCCGGAUUUAUUGGGCGUAAAGCGCGCGUAGGCGGCCCGGAAAGUCGGAUGUGAAAACCCGGGGCUCAACCCCGGGCCUGCAUCCGAUACUCCCGGGCUGGAGGCAGGUAGGGGAGAUCGGAAUUCCUGGUGUAGCGGUGAAAUGCGCAGAUAUCAGGAGGAACACCGGUGGCGAAGGCGGAUCUCUGGGCCUGUCCUGACGCUGAGGCGCGAAAGCUAGGGGAGCGAACAGGAUUAGAUACCCUGGUAGUCCUAGCCGUAAACGUUGGGUGCUAGGUGUGGGGCGGCGAUUGACCCGCUCCGUGCCGUAGCUAACGCAUUAAGCACCCCGCCUGGGGAGUACGGCCGCAAGGUUAAA
rnacentral:rRNA from 1 species